GAUGAACGCUAGCUACAGGCUUAACACAUGCAAGUCGAGGGGCAGCAUUUUAGUUUGCUUGCAAACUAAAGAUGGCGACCGGCGCACGGGUGAGUAACACGUAUCCAACCUGCCGAUAACUCGGGGAUAGCCUUUCGAAAGAAAGAUUAAUAUCCGAUAGUAUAUUAAAACCGCAUGGUUUUACUAUUAAAGAAUUUCGGUUAUCGAUGGGGAUGCGUUCCAUUAGGUAGUAGGCGGGGUAACGGCCCACCUAGCCUGCGAUGGAUAGGGGUUCUGAGAGGAAGGUCCCCCACAUUGGAACUGAGACACGGUCCAAACUCCUACGGGAGGCAGCAGUGAGGAAUAUUGGUCAAUGGACGAGAGUCUGAACCAGCCAAGUAGCGUGCAGGAUGACGGCCCUAUGGGUUGUAAACUGCUUUUAUAAGGGAAUAAAGUGAGUCUCGUGAGACUUUUUGCAUGUACCUUAUGAAUAAGGACCGGCUAAUUCCGUG
rnacentral:rRNA from 1 species